CCAGCGGUGAUGAUAAUACCUGGACGUGAUUUAUAAUGAUGCAUGUUGUAUUCAUACUGUCUGAGCUGG
rfam:Ciona intestinalis ciona0103, whole genome shotgun sequence.